UUGUGGUGCCUGGGCUCUCCCUCCAACCUCAUCUCCAUUCAUAUUUUGGCUGGAUUCAAAUGAGCUUGAUAUCAUGCUCUUCAUCCCAUUUUCAUUAGCAGUUUUGCAGGGAUUCUCAGCCAGAAGCUGAUUAUAUAGACCCAUACUGGAGGUCUAAAGAGGCAUUUCUUGGCAUUUCGUAGGCCUUCCAGAGUGAUUCUGUGGUAUAUUUCAGCUGAAAUUCCAACAUUGUUCAUUUCAGGUCCAGCCAUGAAAAUGAAAUUUGAGUUUUAUCUGAUGCCUGACAGAAGAUGGGAAAACCCUUCAGGGACGCUGGGCAGUGGAAGUUUUGGGAUCUCACACAUGUGAGGACUGGCACCACUGCGUUCGGCACAGGCAUUUUGACUCGGUGCCAGGCUUUCCUGAUUCAGAAGGCAGAAAACAAUACUUGGUUGGUUCAGCUGGACUUUGCGUCUUCACUGAGAGACAGGCACGGCGACUCAAGUUCUGCCAUUUUUUGGCUAAGACCAUCUCUGACAACACCUGGUUCUCAACAGGGAAUAGCAGAGGCCACUGGUUCAGCGUGGACCAUACCCUCAAAUAAAUUAAGUGCCAUGGGACAGCUAAACAUGCAGUUAAUAAAAAUAACUAAACCAGGCGAUGCUGCUGACAUUUGUAUUUGUAUUUGUAAAACUGUGCUUGAAUUCGUUUUUGAUUUUAUACUGCUUGUUAUUUAUUGUUUGUUUUAUAUUUUAACUUGUUACACUUUGUCUUUUUGGGCUUGGCCCCAUGUUAGCCACCCCGAGUCCCUUCGGGGAGAUGGUGGCGGGAUACAAAAAUAAAGUAUUAUUAUAAUAUUAUUAUUAUUAACUGGCUAGAUGGAGCAACUCUAAUACAUGCCAAUGGCCCAUUGACACUAUUCUGGGGUUCCCGACUCUCCAAAAGCAAGUACCGGUUUUAGAAAAGGAGAUCUUGUUUGUCCAGACCAAAGUAAGGAGAGAGCAGGUUUCAUUGCCUCCCCCAUUUGACAUUAUGCUGUUCAUUUUCAUUUUUUUCCACCUGCAGAUGUAACAGACUUCUUCAGAAACCAGUAUAGUAUAAUCCCUGUAUCCAAGGGGGAUAUGUUCCCAGAUUUUGUGUGAAUAAUACUUUUUUUUUCAUGUCAGGAGCGACUUGAGAAACUGCAAGUCACUUCUGGUGUGAGAGAAUUUGCCGUCUGUGAGGACGUUGCCCAGGGGAUGCUCGGAUGUUUUGAUGUUUUUACCAUCCUUGUGGGAGGCUUCUCUCAUGUCCGCAUGGAGCUGGAGCUGAUAGAGGGAGCUCAUCUGCGCUCUCCCGGGGUGGGAUUCGAACCUGGCAGCCUUCAGGUCAGCAACCCAACCUUCAAGUUACAAGGCUUUAACCCACUACGCCACUGGGGGCUCCAUGUGAAUAUAUGAAACCGCAGAUUAAAUAAUUAAAUAUUAUUGAAAUGAAGGACUUCUGGCCCAAGAAUA
rnacentral:lncRNA from 1 species